rnacentral:lncRNA from 1 species
UGAAGUGAAGCGUAUGUCAGGUUUCAAGGGUGCACAGCCUUUUCAACCUUUUCAUAUGAGUUUACCUAAUUAUUUUUUCCUACUUCCCUUGGACUUAUUAGCAACCAAUUACCUCGAAUAGCAUAGCCUUUGUUUGUUUUCAACUCCAUUUAUUCUGAUGUGAUACAAUGGACUGAAACAGAAUAUUCAAUUUGUCAUGCCAUUGUGCCUAUAGCAGAAUGUAUAGCAACAUGGCUCCUAGCUUGAAGUCUUUGAUCUAAUUAAGGGUUCUUUCAAUUGUGAUGUAAGCAUGCCAAGCAAUGUCAUAUGUGCUUCAACGUUGAGAAAUGGCCUUACAAUCCUGCUCAUGUAUUCCACAUAUAUGAAAUUGUAAUCAUAUCUAUGAGUUACUUAAGAUGUUAACUUGGGUUACUUAAUGUUCUUAUGUGUGGAGGGGAGCCAUGGCAGGUGGCAGUAUGCAUCAGCAAGAAGCAGUACAAGCGAAGCUUCCUUCAGGCUGGCAUAGGUAUGCAGGGGCCCAGUAUUUCUGAACUUCUAGCAUCACUGAUUUUUAAUGUUCCUAUGAAGUAUAAAUUUCAUAAGCUGUAGUUAAUGUAAGAUCCAAGAUUAUGAAUCUAGCAAGCUCCCUUUUAGUUUGAUCCUAUCCUGCAAACUACUGUUUUUCAUCAUGGAAACCGUAACAAUUUUAGAUAAAGGUGGACAAAUCUGAUUUCCAUCUUACGUUAGUCCAUCAUCCCGUUAGACAUGAUUUUCCACCAUGUUUUCCCCUUGGAGGAUCGAACUGCUCAAGUGAUUAUUUGCAUUCUCAGUUUUUAUCAAAUCAGUUUGCUUGAUAUGGACAGGGGAGCAUUCCUAUCCAAAUAGAUAAGUUAGCUACAUUUUGAACCCAUAAUCUUUAUAUUUGCAAUUAUGCUUCCCUGCACUUCACUUGUAAUUGAAUCAUAAAAUGCAACUUAUGCAUUGAAGAAACAACUUUGGUAGGUAUUUUCCAUUGGUUCAAUAUAUCAAUCAUGGCCAUGAUAAUCGAACUUGCUAAGAAUAGCAGAAUGUACGUUCAAUUGCUUCUGUGCUUGACCUUCAGUUGCUUUGUGUUACAUGACCAUAUGCUUUAACAACUUCUAAAUGUACAUCUAAGACUGAAAUGCACCGCUGGCCCUUGAACUUGUCACGCUAUGCCAAAUAGGUACAUCAACUCUGAAAAAGUAUUUUUCGGUCCCCAAACUUGCUAAUCAUGCCAAAUAGGUCCAAAUCUAAUCUAAAACGCAUCUCUCUCCUCUAAUCCCUCUCCUCAUCCCUAUUAACACUGACGUGGACCUCCCUCCCUCCCAUUUGCUCUCUCUCUUUCUCUCUCUCUCCUCCCCACCGGCUUCUGCUCCCUCCCCACGCACGGCCGCCGGUGCUCCCUCUCCCGCGCCGCCGGCCACCCUAGCGCCGCAAAUCCACGCUACCCCUCCCCGCCGCAGCUCCACCCCACCAAUCCUCACUGCGCUGCCGCCUUCCCCCUAUCUGCUGGCGCCGGUGGAGCUCCAGGACAGGCCCCUGCUUCAUCCGCCCUUACGACCUCCCCAACUCCGGCUCCGGUGUGGGGCUUGG